rnacentral:rRNA from 1 species
ACCUACGGGGCGCAGCAGUAGGGAAUCUUCCACAGUGGGCGAAAGCCUGAUGGAGCAACGCCGCGUGGGUGAAGAAGGUCUUCGGAUCGUAAAACCCUGUUGUUAGAGAAGAAAGUGCGUGAGAGUAACUGUUCACGUUUCGACGGUAUCUAACCAGAAAGCCACGGCUAACUACGUGCCAGCAGCCGCGGUAAUACGUAGGUGGCAAGCGUUAUCCGGAUUUAUUGGGCGUAAAGAGAACGCAGGCGGUCUUUUAAGUCUGAUGUGAAAGCCUUCGGCUUAACCGGAGUAGUGCAUUGGAAACU